GGGCCGUUAGCGCAGUGGUAGCGCACCUCGCUGGCAGCGAGGGGGUCGGGGGUUCGAAUCCCCCACGGUCCA
rnacentral:tRNA from 1 species